rnacentral:rRNA from 1 species
CAGUAGCCGCGGGAAUACCGAGGGUGCGAGCGUUAAUCGGAUUUACUGGGCGUAAAGCGUGCGUAGGCGGCUUCUUAAGUCGGAUGUGAAAUCCCUGAGCUUAACUUAGGAAUUGCAUUCGAUACUGGGAAGCUAGAGUAUGGGAGAGGAUGGUAGAAUUCCAGGUGUAGCGGUGAAAUGCGUAGAGAUCUGGAGGAAUACCGAUGGCGAAGGCAGCCAUCUGGCCUAAUACUGACGCUGAGGUACGAAAGCAUGGGGAGCAAACAGGAUUAGAUACCCCUGUAGUCCCUGUCUCUUAUCA